AUCCAGCUGACGAGUCUCAGAUAGAACGAAACGCGAAUCAAUCUGGAU
rfam:Schistosoma mattheei strain Denwood, Zambia genome assembly, scaffold: SMTD_scaffold0006640